AGCAGUGGGGAAUUUUCCGCAAUGGGCGAAAGCCUGACGGAGCAAUACCGCGUGAGGGAGGAAGGCUCUUGGGUUGUAAACCUCUUUUCUCAGGGAAGAACAAAAUGACGGUACCUGAGGAAUCAGCAUCGGCUAACUCCGUGCCAGCAGCCGCGGUAAUACGGAGGAUGCAAGCGUUAUCCGGAAUGAUUGGGCGUAAAGCGUCCGCAGGUGGCUGUGUAAGUCUGCUGUCAAAGAGCGAAGCUCAACUUCGUAAAGGCAGUGGAAACUACAUGGCUAGAGUGCGUUCGGGGCAGAGGGAAUUCCUGGUGUAGCGGUGAAAUGCGUAGAGAUCAGGAAGAACACCGGUGGCGAAG
rnacentral:rRNA from 1 species